GGGGAAUAUUGCACAAUGGGCGCAAGCCUGAUGCAGCCAUGCCGCGUGUAUGAAGAAGGCCUUCGGGUUGUAAAGAACUUUCAGCGGGGAGGAAGGUGUUGUGGUUAAUAACCGCAGCAAUUGACGUUACCCGCCGAAGAAGCACAGGCUAAAUCCGUGCCAGCAGCCGCGGUAAUACGGAGGGUGCAAGCGUUAAUCGGAAUUACUGGGCGUAAAGGCACGUAGGCUGCUUUGUAAGUCAGGGGUGAAAUCCCACGGCUCAUACCGUGGAACUGCCUUUGAUACUGCUUAGCUUGAAUCCGGGAGAGGGUGGCGGAAUUCCAGGUGUAGGAGUGAAAUCCGUAGAUAUCUGGAGGAACAUCAGUGGCGAAGGCGGCCACCUGGACCGGUAUUGACGCUGAGGUGCGAAAGCGUGGGGAGCAAACA
rnacentral:rRNA from 1 species